rnacentral:siRNA from 1 species
UCGACCGCCUCACAACCGUAA